CCCUUAGAUGUCCGGGGCCGCACGCGCGCUACAAUGGAUGAAUCAACGCGUCAUCCUGGCCCGAAAGGGUUGGGGAACCGCUGAACCUCAUCCGUGGUUGGGAUUGGGGUUUGUAAUUAUUCCCCAUGAACUAGGAAUUCCCAGUAAGCGCGAGUCAUAAGCUCGCGUUGAUUACGUCCCUGCCCUUUGUACACACCGCCCGUCGCUACUACCGAUUGGAUGGUUUAGUGAGAUCCUCGGAUUGGUCACGGCACGGUGGCAACACUGCGUCGGUGUGCCGAGAAGACGAUCAAACUUGAUCAUCUAGAGGAAGCAAAAGUCGUAACA
rnacentral:rRNA from 1 species